GAUGAACGCUAGCGGCAGGCCUAACACAUGCAAGUCGAGGGGUAACUAGAGUGAUAGCAAUAUUACUUUGGCUAGACCGGCGCACGGGUGCGUAACACGUAUGCAACCUACCUUAUACUGGGGAAUAACUUCGAGAAAUCGGCGCUAAUACCCCAUAACAUUGCGAAGAGGCAUCUCUUUGCAAUUAAAGCUACGGCGGUAUAAGAUGGGCAUGCGUCCAAUUAUCGAGUUGGUGAGGUAACGGCUCACCAAGGCUACGAUUGGUAGGGGUUCUGAGAGGAGGACCCCCCACACUGGGACGGAGACACGGCACAGACUCCUACGGGAGGAAGCAGUGAGGCAUAUUGCGCAAUGGACGAAAGUCUGACGCAGCCAUGCCGCGUGCAGGAUGACGGCCCUAUGGGUUGUAAACUGCUUUUGUACGGGAAUAAACCCUUCUACGUGUAGGAGGCUGAAGGUACCGUAAGAAUAAGCACCGGCUAACUCCGUGCCAGCCGCCGCCGUAACAC
rnacentral:rRNA from 1 species